UUGGAGGGCAAGUCUGGUUCCUUCCGACCCGGCACUUCCAGCUCCAAUAGCGUAUAUUAAAUUUGUUGCAGUUAAAAAGCUCGUAGUUGAACCUUGGGCCUGGCUGGCCGGUCCGCCUCACCGCGUGCACUGGUCCGGCCGGGCCUUUCCUCCCGGGGAACUGCAUGCCCUUCACUGGGCGUGUCCGGGAAUCGGGACUUUUACUUUGAAAAAAUUAGAGUGUUCAAAGCAGGCCUUCUCUCGAAUACAUUACCAUGGAAUAAUGGAAUAGGACGUGCGGUUCUUUUUUGUUGGUUUCUAGGACCGCCGUCCUGAUUAAUACGGACAGUCGGCGAGACUGGUAUUCAAUUGUCUGAGGUGAAGUUCUUGGAUUUAUUGAAGACCAACUACUGUUAAAGCAUUUCUCAAGGAUGUUUUCAUUAAUCAGUGAACCAAAGUUAGGGGAUCGAAGACGAUCAGAUACCGUCACAGUCUUAACCAUAACCUAUGCCGACUAGGAAUCGGACGAUGUUAUUAUCUUGACUCAUUCGGCGCCUUACGGGAAAC
rnacentral:rRNA from 1 species